rnacentral:lncRNA from 1 species
UUGCGCGCCAAUAAGGAGAAAUCCUUAUCGGAAAGCCCCCUCUUUCCUGGGAACGACCUGGUUGUUAAAUAUUGUGAGUUAUAAUAUUAAUGAUGAAUAAGUUGUGUUGAUUAAAAAUGAAUUUUGAUAGUUCCAUUGUGUUGGGAUUAUUAGUGUUAGUGGAAAUCGACAUCUAUUCUGAUGAUAAUUGAUGUCUGGGGGUUAUAU